rnacentral:lncRNA from 1 species
GAUCCUGCAACAAAAAAAUUAUCAUUUAAUUCAUGAAAUUCAUCAUUUUCAUCAAGAUUAAUUGUUUCUGUUGCAUCAUGCUCCCCCUCAACAUGAUGUUCAUCUUGAUUCUCCCCCUUAAAAUGAUGUUCCUGUUGAAAUUGCGAAUGUUCCCCCUCAACUUGAUGAUUCAUAGUUUCAUUCUCCCCCUCGAAAGUUUGCUCUCCAGAUACAGCUGUAGUCGUAUGCUCCCCCUCCAUACGAACUUCAGGCACACUUUCGCAAGAUAUUGACUUUGUAGUAAUUGUUGAAUCAUCAGUAUGUUUUGAGGAUUCUGAUGUUUGAUUAUCAGGAGCAUGUACUUCUGCAUCAAUUGCCCUAUCAGGAAUUCCGAAAAUUAAGUCAUAAUCAAAAUCAUUGAUAUCUGAAUUUUCAAUUUGAGUAUCUGAAUCAACAAGAAUUGAUUUAUUUUCAAAUUUAAUAUCCGUUUGUUUAAGAUAAUAAUCAUCGAAGGUUAAGUUGAAAGUAUCUUCAACUUUUCUUGUCUGCUUGUUUAACACCCUGUAUGCAACUGAAUUUUGCGAAUAUCCUAAGAAUAUGCCUUCAUCAGCUUUAGCUUGAAACUUGAUCAAAUUAUCUUUUAGAUUCAUUAUAAAACACCUGCAACCAAAAACAUGAAAAAAUUUUUACAUUAGGUUUUCGAUUGUUGAGUAUUUCAUAUGGAGUGACAUUGAAUCUUCGAUGAAUGAAUGAACGAUUCUGAGUAAAACAUGCAGUCGACACAGCUUCAACCCAAAGAUAUUGAGGUAAGUUCGCAUAUGUUAGCAUGAACCUGGCUGCUUCGCAUAGAGACCUAUUUCUUCUUUCAACAACACCAUUUUGUUGUGGAGUAUAUGGUGGUGAGAAAUUAUGNCACAGCUUCAGCCCAAAGAUAUUGAGGUAAGUUCGCAUAUGUUAACAUGGUCCUGGCUGCUUCGCAUAGAGACCUAUUUCUUCUUUCAACAACACCAUUUUGUUGUGGAGUAUAUGGUGAUGAGAAAUUAUGCGAAAU